GACGAACGCUGGCGGCGUGCUUAACACAUGCAAGUCGAACGGAAAGGCCUUUUCGGAGGUACUCGAGUGGCGACCGGGUGAGUAACACGUGGGUGAUCUGCCCUGCACUCUGGGAUAAGCCUGGGAAACUGGGUCUAAUACCGGAUAGGACCGCACUUUAGUGUGUGUGGUGGAAAGUUUUUUCGGUGUAGGAUGAGCCCGCGGCCUAUCAGCUUGUUUGUGGGGUAAUGGCUUACCAAGGCGACGACGGGUAGCCGGACUGAGGGGUUGGUCGGCCACACAGGGUCCUAGGGGAGGCCCAGACUCCGAAGGGAGGAAGCAGGGCGGAAUAUUGCACAAGGCGCGCAGGCCUGAUGCAGCGACGCCGCGGGGGGGAUGACGCCCUUCGUGUUGUAAACUCCUUUCGCCAGGGACGAAGCGUUUUGUGACGGUACCUGGAGAAGAAGCACCGGCUAACUACGUG
rnacentral:rRNA from 1 species